GAAUCUUGCGCAAUGCGCGAAAGCGUGACGCAGCAACGCCGCGUGAGGGAAGACGGCCUUCGGGUUGUAAACCUCUUUCAGUUGGGACGAAGCUUCAGUCGUUAACAGCGGCUUGGAGUGACGGUACCUUCACAAGAAGCCCCGGCUAACUACGUGCCAGCAGCCGCGGUAAUACGUAGGGGGCUAGCGUUGUCCGGAAUCAUUGGGCGUAAAGAGCGUGUAGGCGGCCCGAUAAGUCCGCUGUGAAAGUCCAGGGCUCAACCCUGGGAUGCCGGUGGAAACUGUCGGGCUAGAGUCCGGAAGAGGCGAGUGGAAUUCCUGGUGUAGCGGUGAAAUGCGCAGAUAUCAGGAGGAACACCAAUGGCGAAGGCAGCUCGCUGGGACGGUACUGACGCUGAGACGCGAAAGCGUGGGGAGCGAAC
rnacentral:rRNA from 1 species